AUGAUGUACAGCUGUGGGAGCUGCACUGAAGGAGAUGCAGCAGGAGUUCUGACUCACAGACUCAAAGCGUCUGGACCUAAAAGUGCAUUUUGUAGAGGGACACCAUUUGGUGCAGCGGAAACUGCGUGGACCCGAGACUGGGCCGUGAAAUUGGAGUUCCAGGAGGGCAUUAACCUGGCUGGGUUGUGGCUUCAUAAGAGCCCAUACAGAGUGGCCUCACUUAUUCUCCCUGGAUGUGAAAAGACCAACCUAUUAUUUCUAUUUCUCUCCUGAUGUUUCAUAAAAUGUCAAAAUAGUUACGGCUCAUCCUGGAGCACUUUAAACUUUUAUAUGACUUUAACUCCAUGCCGUGAUUUCACAGAAAAAUAGAUGUUGUUGCCUUCUUCAGGCCCUCUGGACAAAUUAAAUGCAUAUUACUUCUUUUUUUUUGUUACCUUCUUGACAUUAUAAAUCCAUUAUCAUUUAGAUGAAAUUGGCGUGCAAUCUGAAUCUCUCAAUGUUCCUUUCCACAAUUGCUUUUAAUUGCUUUGUUGCCAAGAGCAUAAAUUAUACAAUUUCUUUAUAAUCAACUCAUUUCGGUAUGUUAUCUCUGUCACUGUUUGCACAAACAUUGUUGAGAACAAAACCUCCUUUCAGUAAAAGUAUUUUUUAAACAUUAAUUUCUGGACUGUGGAGAAAAAGAUCACUGGUUUGGAGAGGAGAGAACCAAAUGUGCUUCAUCGGCUGAUAUACUGUAUGUCUGGACAUCUUCUGUGCAUGCUUAUAGGCUCAGACUGCUCCCAUCA
rnacentral:lncRNA from 1 species